ACUACAUGAAGCUGGAAUCGCUAGUAAUCGCGAAUCAGAAUGUCGCGGUGAAUACGUUCCCGGGUCUUGUACACACCGCCCGUCACACCAUGGGAGUUGGCAACGCCCGAAGUCAGUGACCCAACCUUAACAGGAGGGAGCUGCCGAAGGCGGGGCUGAUAACUGGGGUGAAGUCGUAACAAGGUAAC
rnacentral:rRNA from 1 species